GACCUCAUUGAUCAGAAGGAAUUCCUUCCGGUCGAUGGGAUUGUCAUACCUCAUUGCCCGGAAGGAAUCCCUUCGGGUAGAUGAGGUU
rnacentral:miRNA from 1 species